AGAGUUUGAUCCUGGCUCAGGACGAACGCUGGCGGCGUGCCUAAUACAUGCAAGUAGAACGCUGAAGAGAGGAGCUUGCUCUUCUUGGAUGAGUUGCGAACGGGUGAGUAACGCGUAGGUAACCUGCCUUGUAGCGGGGGAUAACUAUUGGAAACGAUAGCUAAUACCGCAUAACAAUGGGUGACUCAUGUCAUUUAUUUGAAAGGGGCAAAUGCUCCACUACAAGAUGGACCUGCGUUGUAUUAGCUAGUAGGUGAGGUAACGGCUCACCUAGGCGACGAUACAUAGCCGACCUGAGAGGGUGAUCGGCCACACUGGGACUGAGACACGGCCCAGACUCCUACGGGAGGCAGCAGUAGGGAAUCUUCGGCAAUGGGGGCAACCCUGACCGAGCAACGCCGCGUGAGUGAAGAAGGUUUUCGGAUCGUAAAGCUCUGUUGUAAGUCAAGAACGAGUGUGAGAGUGGAAAGUUCACACUGUGACGGUAGCUUACCAGAAAGGGACGGCUAACUACGUGCCAGCAGCCGCGGUAAUACGUAGGUCCCGAGCGUUGUCCGGAUUUAUUGGGCGUAAAGCGAGCGCAGGCGGUUUGAUAAGUCUGAAGUUAAAGGCUGUGGCUCAACCAUAGUUCGCUUUGGAAACUGUCAAACUUGAGUGCAGAAGGGGAGAGUGGAAUUCCAUGUGUAGCGGUGAAAUGCGUAGAUAUAUGGAGGAACACCGGUGGCGAAAGCGGCUCUCUGGUCUGUAACUGACGCUGAGGCUCGAAAGCGUGGGGAGCGAACAGGAUUAGAUACCCUGGUAGUCCACGCCGUAAACG
rnacentral:rRNA from 1 species